CUGAAGAAAGUGUAAUUGUACACACAGAUGAAUUCUAUGCUUUAUUCCAUAGAAAAACCACACCAUUUUGUAAAGACACACAUUUUAAUUCCCAACCAGUUUAAUUACCACACAAUUAUAAUUGUUCAAAGCUUCAGUUUGAAGAUAUAUAACAUCUGCAAAGGGGUUAAUAUCAGUUAGAGAAUCUAUGGCAUCUUAAAACGGGUUAAGGCUUACUAUUGCUGUCAAGUGCAUAAAGAAGAAGAACAAUGUGUAUAGCUUUCAAUUUUCAGGGGAAAAAAAGUAAAGAGGGAAUUCUUUCAGAAAAAAAAAAACGAAAAAAAACAUAGCUAUAGGGAAAUAGGUUAUCCCUCAAACUUUACUCUUAUGAAAAUGCAGGAAUCUGUCGUUCUUAUCCUGUUAUCAAUUUCUCAGCCGCAGAGUAAUUAUCUUUUGAACUGCAGUUUGUUUCAGGUGUGUUCCAACUGUCAAUUAAGUGUUUCUGGAUGAAAUACAAUGUGUUAGAGACACUGCAGCUCUCUUUGUCUGCCUCUUCUGGCCCAUCUACACCUCUAAAUAACCACUUUACUUAAAUCAUCAGUGCCUCUUACAUGUUUCUGCAUAUACUAACAGAAUUACCUAUGAUAGUUUUUUUUCUGAGUUAAUUGAAACAAAAUGAGCUAAUGUAUUAAAAAUGAAUUAGUGUUUAACGUUGGUGUGAAAUACAUUCAGGCCUACUCUUUUGCUUUUGUGGCUCAGAGGUAGCUACAUUUUUUUAAGUAUUGGUGAAAGUUAAUGCUUCAAUAGAAAAAUUAUUUUAAUUUUUUUAUUUUGAAUAUGUUUGACUUCGAUGCUAUUUUUAUAUUGCUGCUAUAACUAUAUAUUAGCUAUUUUUGCCUGUAGUUCUUUACAUAUUAAGUCCUAUUUUCUUUUAACAAUUAUUCUCAGGUGCUAGUAAGUUUAAGUGCAGGUAUUUCAGAUAUGCUCCUUUCUAAGCACACAUGAAGGAAUUCCCUCUGUGGCACAAUGCAGAGGCUGUGGCAUAGAUCAUAGCUAUAGCUCAGAUUCAAAGCCUGGCCUGGGAAUUUCCAUAUGCCAUGGGUAUGGCCCUAAAAAAUAAAAAAUAAACACUCGUGAAGGAGAAUUGUUAAAUAGCUAGGACAAACAUAAAUGUUUUAAAGUUUUGGUUUUUUUUGUUUGUUUGUUUGUUUUGCCUUUUUUUAGGGCCACACCCAGGGCAUAUUGAAGUUCCUAGGCUAGGGGUUGAAUCAGAGUUACAGCUGCCAGCCUACACCACAGCCACAGCAUAUCUUGUAUCCUGCUACUUUGCUGAAUUCGUUGAUCAGUUCAAGUAGCUUUUGUGUGGAGUCCUUAGAGUUUUCUAUAUGCAGUAUCACGUCAUCUGCAUAGAGUAACAAUUUUACCUCUUCUCUUCCAAUUUUGAUACCUUUUAUUUUUUUUGUUUGAGUGCUAUGGCUAGGACUUUCAGCACUAUGUUGAAUAAAAAUGGUGAGAGUGGGCAUCCUUAUAUUUUUUUAAUAUGUGCACAGGGAGCACAUGGCUGUAGAGAGUUGACCACAUAUCAAUUAUACAAUUUUUUUUUUUUUUUGUCUUUUGUUGUUGUUGUUGCUAUUUCUUGGGCCGCUCCCGCCGCAUAUGGAGGUUCCCAGGCUAGGGGUCAAAUCGAAGCUGUAGCCACCGGCCUAUGCCAGAGCCACCGCAACACGGGAUCUGAGCCGCAUCUGCAACCUACACCACAGCUCACAGCAACGCUGGAUCGUUAACCCACUGAGCAAGGGCAGUGACCGAACCCGCAACAACCUCAUGGUUCCUAGUCGGAUUCGUUAACCACUGUGCCACGACGGGAACUCCCAAUCAUACAAUUUUUAAAUCACGUUUUCAGCUCUGCUAAUCAGAGAAUAACUAGGACAGAUGAAACUAAAUGUGGAAACUAGGGUGACUCAUUGGAUGUAAAGUAGAGCAUUUGUUUGGAAUUUUCUUGUAACACAGUUGGUUAAGGAUCCUGCGCUGUCGCUGCAGUGGCUCAGGUCACUGCUGUGGCACAGGUUCGAUGCUAGGCCCAAGAAGGUCCAUAUGCCGCAGGUGUGGCCAGAAAAGAAAUAAAGUAGAACACUUUUUGAAAAUAUGAAGGGGUGAGAAUACCAAGCAAACAUGACGAGUAAAUAUGUAAGAUAUUACAUUUAUAGGAGGCAAGGCAUUUGUCCCUUAUCAGUAUCACACAGAAAGAAAAAAACAAAAACCAUGCUGUCCAUCAGGUACCUUCUAUUUUUUGGACUCCCUUUGUCCUAUGUCAGAUACCUCAGGGUUCAGGUAUAGUGAGUUUUCCACCCUUUUUGAACACUGCCAUAAGUUUUUAAAACUAAUCCGUCUUUCUCCAAAGUUAUCACUGUGAUUUUAAAUUUAUUUUAAAAUCAUAGGGUUUGAUCAUCUAAAGUUCUCUGAGAUUUUUUGUUCUAACCUCUAGGAUAGUAUCUGGAACUGUACUUGGAGGAUACUAUUACAUCAAGGUAACAUCCUUAUAUUGGACACCUAUAGUUCUUAUAUUGGAAUCAAAAACAAGUUUCUAUUUAAAAUAAUUCAGCAUGAAAAAUACAAAGAACAGAUUCAUCAGGUUUGCUAAAUAAAAAAUACAAAUAGUAUAUGCAAUAUAAGACUAAGAUGGCACAAAGUUUCUUUCAACAACUGUUUGAUAGCAAUUGCCUGAAAUCAUUUCGUUGAGAAUGACUUAGACUACUUGAGAAUGAUAAAUAGACAAUCCAAGAUCUCUGUAAAUCAGAGGCCAUGAACAGUUAGCAAGGUCUAUCAUAAGAAAUGAUAAGAGAGAAAAUCCCUGGACCCCUGCAGAAGGAAAACUCCCUAAAACUAACUAUGAAAUGGGUAAGUUAAUGAUUAGGUUUAAUUAUUGACAUCAUUAAAUGGAAUAAACAUUCAUGGUCAAUGACUUUAAUUCACUGUCAUAUUGGAGAAAUAUUUACAAACAAAAACUCUCAAAGUUCAGUAUAUACUGAUAGUAGGGUUCACUUCUAAAUGAUAAAGCUCCAUGUUUGUCUCACUUCUAUAUACAGGAUGAAUGAGAUAUUUAUCAUUGAUGAAAAUGUGAUUAAGAUACUAAAACAGGUAUCAGAAAAGUUUUUCUUUAAAGACCAGGUAGAAAAUAUUGCAGUCUUUGUAGUCAUAUGGCCUCUGUGGCAUUUGCCACUACUCAGUUCUGUCACUAAAGCACAAAAACAGUCAUAGACAAUACGCAACAAAUUGGUAUCAUUGCAUUUCAAGAAAAAUUUAUUAACAGAGAAUGAACUAGAAUUAACCCACAUACCAGUUUGUAGAUAUAUGUACCAGAAGGUGCUUAAAAUUUGUAGAUCUUGCUGUUGUGAGUAAUCAUUCUGAGUGGCUCAGUUAACCUGAAAGUUCCCUAUAACACCACAAUUAUGCCUAGCUAUCACAGCUAUGGAAAGUAUAUAUUGUGCAGAAUUGGGGCUAC
rnacentral:lncRNA from 1 species